UGAGAUGUCCUGCCACACCCCUCGUGU
rnacentral:piRNA from 1 species